GACGAACGCUGGCGGCGUGCUUAACACAUGCAAGUCGAACGGAAAGGCCCUUCGGGGUACUCGAGUGGCGAACGGGUGAGUAACACGUGGGUGAUCUGCCCUGCACUUUGGGAUAAGCCUGGGAAACUGGGUCUAAUACCGAAUAGGACCACGCGCUUCAUGGUGUGUGGUGGAAGGCUUUUGCGGUGUGGGAUGGGCCCGCGGCCUAUCAGCUUGUUGGUGGGGUAAUGGCCUACCAAGGCGACGACGGGUAGCCGGCCUGAGAGGGUGACCGGCCACACUGGGACUGAGAUACGGCCCAGACUCCUACGGGAGGCAGCAGUGGGGAAUAUUGCACAAUGGGCGCAAGCCUGAUGCAGCGACGCCGCGUGAGGGAUGACGGCCUUCGGGUUGUAAACCUCUUUCACCAGGGACGAAGCGUAAGUGACGGUACCUGGAGAAGAAGCACCGGCCAACUACGUG
rnacentral:rRNA from 1 species